GUAUAAAGUUCUUUACUGCCGCCAACCGAGCGUUAGCCAGGCCGGACGACGUUUCAAGACAUUCUAGGCCAUACGUUUUAGAGUAGAUAGAGACAUAGAUCCCUCGCGGGACCUACAAUAGGUGCACAGGUGUAAGAAAAGGGUCUCACGAAAGGAAAGAGAUCGAGAUACUAAAAAGUAAGACUUCGAGACGUGCACAUGCCUUCGUUUCCAAAGGCCAGCGACAGUCCCUUCCGUUCCUACCCCAAAUUUCUCUCGUUCUUCCCCCCCUCCGGAUUUUCUCUUCGAUAAUGAUCCUUCCGCAGGUUCACCUACGGAAA
rnacentral:misc_RNA from 1 species